rnacentral:rRNA from 1 species
CUUGCCGCCGGCGACCGGCGCACGGGUGAGUAACACGUAUGCAACCUGGCCGUGACAGAUGGAUAACCGGGAGAAAUCCCGCCUAAUACAACAUAAUGCCGGGAGGGGACAUCCCCUGCCGGCCAAAGGGGCGACCCCGGUCACGGAUGGGCAUGCGGCGCAUUAGGUAGUUGGUGGGGCAACGGCCCACCAAGCCGACGAUGCGUAGGGGUUCUGAGAGGAAGGUCCCCCACAUUGGAACUGAGACACGGUCCAAACUCCUACGGGAGGCAGCAG